rnacentral:rRNA from 1 species
UACGUAGGGUGCGAGCGUUGCCCGGAUUUAUUGGGCGUAAAGGGCGCGUAGGCGGUCGUGACAAGUCACUUGUGAAAUCUCCGGGCUUAACUCGGAACGGUCAAGUGAUACUGUCGGACUAGAGUACAGAAGGGGCAACUGGAAUUCUCGGUGUAGCGGUGAAAUGCGUAGAUAUCGAGAGGAACACCUGCGGCGAAGGCGGGUUGCUGGGCUGAUACUGACGCUGAGGCGCGGAAAGCCCAGGGGAGCGAACGGG